CGCUGGCGGCGCGCCUAACACAUGCAAGUCGAACGGAGAUAUGAACUGAAGUUUCGGACGGAAGCUGAUAUCUUAGUGGCGAACGGGUGAGUAACACGUGAGGAACCUGCCUUCAGAGGGGGGAUAACACUUAGAAAUAGGUGCUAAUACCGCAUAAGACCACGGCGUCGCAUGGCGCAGCGGUCAAAGGAGCAAUCCGCUGAAAGAUGGACUCGCGUCUGAUUAGAUAGUUGGUGAGGUAACGGCCCACCAAGUCGACGAUCAGUAGCCGGACUGAGAGGUUGAACGGCCACAUUGGGACUGAGACACGGCCCAGACUCCUACGGGAGGCAGCAGUGGGGAAUAUUGCACAAUGGAGGAAACUCUGAAUGCAGCGACGCCGCGUGAGGGAAGAAGGUUUUCGGAUUGUAAACCUCUGUCUUCGGGGACGAUAAUGACGGUACCCGAGGAGGAAGCCACGGCUAACUACGUGCCAGCAGCUGC
rnacentral:rRNA from 1 species